AUUGAACGCUGGCGGCAGGCCUAACACAUGCAAGUCGAGCGGAUGAAGGGAGCUUGCUCCUGGAUUCAGCGGCGGACGGGUGAGUAAUGCCUAGGAAUCUGCCUGGUAGUGGGGGAUAACGUCCGGAAACGGGCGCUAAUACCUCAUACGUCCUGAGGGAGAAAGUGGGGGAUCUUCGUACCUCACGCUAUCAGAUGAGCCUAGGUCUGAUUAGCUAGUUGGUGGGGUAAAGGCCUACCAAGGCGACGAUCCGUAACUGGUCUGAGAGGAUGAUCAGUCACACUGGAACUGAGACACGGUCCAGACUCCUACGGGAGGCAGCAGUGGGGAAUAUUGGACAAUGGGCGAAAGCCUGAUCCAGCCAUGCCGCGUGUGUGAAGAAGGUAUUCGGAUUGUAAAGCACUUUAAGUUGGGAGGAAGGGCAGUAAGUUAAUACCUUGCUGUUUUGACGUUACCAACAGAAUAAGCACCGGCUAACUUCGUG
rnacentral:rRNA from 1 species